rnacentral:rRNA from 1 species
GACGUAGGGCGCGAGCGUUGUCCGGAUUUAUUGGGCGUAAAGAGCUCGUAGGCGGCUUGUCGCGUCGAAUGUGAAAACUCGGGGCUCAACUCCGAGCUUGCAUUCGAUACGGGCAGGCUAGAGUUCGGUAGGGGAGACUGGAAUUCCUGGUGUAGCGGUGAAAAUGCGCAGAUAUCAGGAGGAACACCGGUGGCGAAGGCGGGUCUCUGGGCCGAUACUGACGCUGAGGAGCGAAAAGCGUGGGGAGCGAACAGG